ACUGCGAGUGAAGCGGCAAAAGCUCAAAUUUGAAAUCUGGUACCUUUGGGUGCUCGAGUUGUAAUUUGGAGAGGCAACUUCGGAGGGGGCGCUGGCCUAAGUUCCUUGGAACAGGACGUCACAGAGGGUGAGAAUCCCGUGCUUGGCUGGCUGUCCUCCUUCAUGUGAAGUGUCUUCGACGAGUCGAGUUGUUUGGGAAUGCAGCUCAAAAUGGGUGGUAAACUCCAUCUAAGGCUAAAUAUUGGCGAGAGACCGAUAGCGCACAAGUAGAGUGAUCGAAAGAUGAAAAGCACUUUGAAAAGAGAGUUAAACAGUACGUGAAAUUGUUGAAAGGGAAGCGCUUGAGACCAGACUCGGUAAUUGGUGAUCAGCGGUAGCUUCUGCUCCGUGCACUUGCCUUUUACUGGGCCAGCAUCAGUUGCGACGGCAGGAUAAAGGCUCAGGGAAUGUGGCUCUCUUCGGGGAGUGUUAUAGCCCUGGGUGUAAUGCUGCCUGCCGCGACUGAGGACCGCGCUUCGGCUAGGAUGCUGGCAUAAUGGUCUUCAGCGACCCGUCUUGAAACACGGACCAAGGAGUCUAACAUCUAUGCGAGUGUUCGGGUGUAAAACCCCUGCGCGUAAUGAAAGUGAACGGAGGUGGGAACUCUUUGGAGUGCACCAUCGACCGAUCCUGAUGUCUUCGGAUGGAUUUGAGUAGGAGCAUAGCUGUUGGGACCCGAAAGAUGGUGAACUAUGCCUGAAUAGGGUGAAGCCAGAGGAAACUCUGGUGGAGGCUCGCAGCGGUUCUGACGUGCAAAUCGAUCGUCAAAUUUGGGUAUAGGGGCGAAAGACUAAUCGAACCAUCUAGUAGCUGGUUCCUGCCGAAGUUUCCCUCAGAUAGCAGUAACGAUCUCAGUUUUAUGAGGUAAAG
rnacentral:rRNA from 1 species